rnacentral:rRNA from 1 species
UACGUAGGGGGCUAGCGUUGUCCGGAAUCAUUGGGCGUAAAGCGCGUGUAGGCGGUCCGGUAAGUCCGCUGUGAAAGCCGGGGGCUCAACCCUCGGAUGCCGGUGGAUACUGUCGGGCUUGAGUACGGAAGAGGCGAGUGGAAUACCUGGUGUAGCGGUGAAAUGCGCAGAUAUCAGGAGGAACACCAAUUGCGAAGGCAGCUCGCUGGGACGUUACUGACGCUGAGACGCGAAAGCGUGGGGAGCAAACAGG